ACACGAACCGCACGAACGUUAUUCGGAAUCACUGGGCUUAAAGGGUGCGUAGGCGGUCCGGUAAGUUGGGUGUGAAAGCCCUCGGCUCAACCGAGGAAUUGCGCCCAAAACUACCGGACUUGAGGAAGACAGAGGUGAGCGGAACUUGCGGUGGAGCGGUGAAAUGCGUUGAUAUCGCAAGGAACACCAGUGGCGAAAGCGGCUCACUGGGUCUUUUCUGACGCUGAGGCACGAAAGCUAGGGGAGCGAACGGGAUUAGAUACCCCUGUAGUCC
rnacentral:rRNA from 1 species